GCGCACCAGGCGAGAAACUUUACAAUGUGCGAAAGCACGAUAAGGGAACUCUGAGUGCCUCCUAAGGAGGCUGUUCAGGUGUCUAAAAGCACCUGAAGGAAGGGCUGGGUAAGACCGGUGCCAGCCGCCGCGGUAACACCGGCAGCCCAAGUGGUAGCCACGUUUAUUGGGUCUAAAGCGUCCGUAGCCGGCUGGGUAAGUUCCUUGGGAAAUUUGGCUGCUUAACAGUCAAGCUUUCAGGGAAUACUGCCCGGCUUGGGACCGGGGAGAGGUCAGGAGGUA
rnacentral:rRNA from 1 species